rnacentral:rRNA from 1 species
AGUGAACGCUGGCGGUAGGCCUAACACAUGCAAGUCGAACGGCAGCACAGUAAUAGCUUGCUCUUACGGGUGGCGAGUGGCGGACGGGUGAGGAAUACAUCGGAAUCUACUUUUUCGUGGGGGAUAACGUAGGGAAACUUACGCUAAUACCGCAUACGACCUACGGGUGAAAGCAGGGGAUCUUCGGACCUUGCGCGAUUGAAUGAGCCGAUGUCGGAUUAGCUAGUUGGCGGGGUAAAGGCCCACCAAGGCGACGAUCCGUAGCUGGUCUGAGAGGAUGAUCAGCAACACUGGAAAUGAGACACGGUCCAGACUCCUACGGGAGGCAGCAGUGGGAAUAUUGGACAAUGGGCGCAAGCCUGAUCCAGCCAUACAGCGUGGGUGAAGAAGGCCUUCGGGUUGUAAAGCCCUUUUGUUGGGAAAGAAAAGCAGCAGGUUAAUACCCAGCUGUUCUGACGGUACCAAAAGAAUAAGCACCGGCUAACUUCGUG